rnacentral:rRNA from 1 species
AGUGAACGCUGGCGGUAGGCCUAACACAUGCAAGUCGAACGGCAGCACAGUAUGCGCUCGCUCUUAGGGGUGGCGAGGGGCGGGCGGGGGAGGAGUACAUCGGAAUCUACUUUUUCGUGGGGGAUAACGUCGGGAAUCUUACGCUAAUACCGCAUACGACCUACGGGUGAAAGCAAGGGGCCUUCGGCCCUUGCGCGAUUGGAUGAGCCGAUGUCGGAUUAGCUAGUUGGCGGGGUAAAGGCCCACCAAGGCGACGAUCCGUAGCUGGUCUGAGAGGAUGAUCAGCCACACUGGAACUGAGACACGGUCCAGACUCCUACGGGAGGCAGCAGUGGGGAAUAUUGGACAAUGGGGGCAAGCCUGAUCCAGCCAUACCGCGUGGGUGAAGAAGGCCUUCGGGUUGUAAAGCCCUUUUGUUGGGGAAGAAAAGCUGUAGGCUAAUACCCCGCUGUUCUGACGGUACCCAAAGAAUAAGCACCGGCUAACUUCGUG